CCUACGGGUGGCAGCAGUGAGGAAUAUUGGUCAAUGGACGCAAGUCUGAACCAGCCAUGCCGCGUGAAGGAAGACGGUUCUAUGAGUUGUAAACCUCUUUUGUCCGAGGGCAAAGGCAGAUACGCGUAUCUGUCUGAAAGUAUCGUACGAAUAAGGAUCGGCUAACUCCGUGCCAGCAGCCGCGGUAAUACGGAGGAUUCAAGCGUUAUCCGGAUUUAUUGGGUUUAAAGGGUGCGUAGGCGGUCGGAUAAGUUAGAGGUGAAAUCCCGAGGCUCAACCUCGGAACUGCCUUUGAAACUGGUCGUCUAGAGAGUAGUAGCGGUAGGCGGAAUGUAUGGUGUAGCGGUGAAAUGCUUAGAUAUCGCGCAGAACCCCGAUUGCGAAGGCAGCGUACCGGCUCCACACUGACGCUGAGGCACGAAAGCGUGGGUAUCGAACAGGAUUAGAUACCCCAGUAGUC
rnacentral:rRNA from 1 species